GCUCACUGCAACCUCCACCUCCCAGGUUCAAGCAGUUCUCUGCCUCAGCCUUCUGAGUAGCUGGGAUUAUAGGUGCCCACCACCAUGCCUGGCUAAUUUUUGUAUUUUUAGUAGAGACGGAGUUUCAUCAUCUUGGCCAGGCUAGUCUUGAACUCCUGACCUCGUGAUCCACCUGCCUCGGCCUCCCAAAGUGCUGGGAUUACAGGCGUGAGCCACCGAGCCCAGCCCAACAAGAUAUCUUCUUGAGGGAUGAAGUAAAUCUCCUGUCAAAGGAUUGGAGAGAAGGAACCAACCGUCUUUCACUCACCCACUUAGAACCUUCUGGAAGCCCUGACUGCCUUGCUGUAAGGUCGGCUGAAUGGAAAGAGACAAAGGCUGUUGGCCCUGAUAACAGAGGACAUGGAGAACACUGACGGGCCAGCACAGAGAGGUGUCAAACCUACAUUGCAGCCUGAAGGAUGUCUUCACUUCCUCCUGCUCCUUCGCCUUGUAUCCUUCAUAGAUUUUUCCCGCAAUAAAACUUUGCA
rnacentral:lncRNA from 1 species